rnacentral:misc_RNA from 1 species
UCUCCGUAGGUGAACCUGCGGAGGGAUCAUUACAAGUGACCCCGGUCUUACCACCGGGAUGUUCAUAACCCUUUGUUGUCCGACUCUGUUGCCUCCGGGGCGACCCUGCCUUCGGGCGGGGGCUCCGGGUGGACACUUCAAACUCUUGCGUAACUUUGCAGUCUGAGUAAACUUAAUUAAUAAGUUAAAACUUUCAACAACGGAUCUCUUGGUUCCG